UAGGGAAUAUUAGAAAUGGACGAAAGUCUGAUCUAGCAACACCGCGUGUGCGAAGAAGGCCUUCGGGUCGUAAAGCACUUUUUGGAAGGAAUAGGAAGGAAUGUACUUCCAGAAUAAGUCUCGGCUAACUACGUGCCAGCAGCCGCGGUAACACGUAGGAGGCGAACGUUAUCCGGAUUUACUGGGCGUAAAGCGCGUGUAGGUGGUGCUGUAAGUAGGGCGUGAAAGCUCCUGGCUCAACUGGGAGAGGCCGUUCUAAACUACAGAACUAGAGGAUGGUAGAGGGAGGUGGAAUUCCAGGUGUAGCGGUGGAAUGCGCAGAUAUCUGGAGGAACACCGGUGGCGAAGGCGGCCUCCUGGACCAUUCCUGACACUCAGACGCGAAAGCUAGGGUAGCAGACGG
rnacentral:rRNA from 1 species